rnacentral:rRNA from 1 species
AGGACGCAGCCGACCACGGACGGGUCAGCGACUGGGGUGAAGUCGUAACAAGGUAGCCGUAGGGGAACCUGCGGCUGGAUCACCUCCUUUCAAGGAUAUUUCCUGACACGUUGGGGAAUUCCGAAAUAAAAGUCCUUGGCCAGAUUGGCUGAGGCGCCAGACAAUCCUGGAUGAUUGGCCUCAGGGCGCCGUCAACAUAUCCCUUCCUAUAAUUUUCCCGGGCUAGUAGCUCAGUUGGUUAGAGCACACGCUUGAUAAGCGUGGGGUCGGAGGUUCAAGUCCUCCCUGGCCCACCAGAGAUUGGGGGCAUAGCUCAGCUGGGAGAGCACCUGCUUUGCAAGCAGGGGGUCGUCGGUUCGAACCCGUCUGCCUCCACCAGUCACGGUUGAGAUUUCGGUCUCCUCUGAGUGGUGUAGAGCUCAAGAUCUGGUCCGUAAGGGAAAAUCAUAGGAAACGGGACGUCUGUUUCCUGAUCCUGUCUCCACGAAGUUGGAUGACGCGUCAGGGAUGUUGGGUCUUUUAGAGUGUGAAUAGGUUGGUGCGCAGUCUGCGUGUGCCAUUUCCGGGUUGGUCUGACCCGUUGCUGUGGAGCUUAGGCUUCAUUGCAAUGCUAAGGAAAUGGGGAAGCAUUCAGACAGCGUGAAGAAAAGUGUGACUGACACCGCAUGAGUGCGGAAGUCGGCAGCAUCUUUGUGGUGUGGCUGGUUUCUGUGCAUGUGUCUUCAUCCUCGGGUGAAGAAUGGUGUGAGAAUGAGAAGGGCGUUCGGUGGAUGCCUUGGCACUAAGAGGCGAUGAAGGACGUGGUACGCUGCGAAAAGCCAUGGGGAGCCGCGAACAGGCUUUGAUCCGUGGAUGUCCGAAUGGGGCAACCCCCUCGCAAGAGGAUCAUGCACUGAAUACAUAGGUGUAUGAGGCAAACCCGGGGAACUGAAACAUCUCAGUACCUGGAGGAAAAGACAUCAACAGAGAUUCCGCUAGUAGUGGCGAGCGAACGCGGAGCAGGCCAAUGCCUGAUCAGGAAGAAGCUGAACGGUCUGGAAAGUCCGGCAAGAAUGGGUGAUAGCCCCGUAAGCGUAGUGUUCUGAUGAGGAUUCGAGUAGGGCGGGGCACGUGAAACCCUGUCUGAACAUGGGGGGACCACCCUCCAAGCCUAAAUACUCCU